rnacentral:misc_RNA from 1 species
AGAAGCCAUUAAUGGAUCACAGUAAAGAUUUCCCAGCCUGCCUCCUGCAUUCGUGAGGGUAAUAAAGUCAAGAUGAUCUUUAACAUAUAUCCUAGAAACAUAAUCACUCGUCUCUUCCACUAAAUUAAACUAGCAAAGGAUCAUGGAGUGAUAUAUGUUGGGAUUCCAACUUGCAGCAUCAUCCCAUACAUUCAUCUAUCUGGAUUUAAAGCAUUUGGUGAGACUGGGAAAACAACUGAUGUUAAAACCAUGUUAGCUUGAAAAAUAUAUAGCACAUGACAUUUUGGUGAAAUGGAGUUUAGAUUUCAUAAAUAAUUUCCUUCCAUCCACGUGGAAAAGAUUUGACAUUGUGUUCUAGCAUGAAUUGAAUGCUGAAAACAGAAUAGGGCUGAUCUUCAUUGUUCCCAUUGACCUUUCAAUGGGAAAAGCCAUAAAAGAAGUUUAAAAAAGCUAGAAUUAGGAAUACCAAAAACUGUAAGCAAAAUUUUUCAAACAUAAAAUAUAGUCUAAUCUUCUUUGACAAACACAAUUACAGAGCACUUUGCGGUUCAACGCUGAGACUGCAGCUCAACUCCCAUAAGAAGUGAUAAAAUAAAAUCAAACAAAAUAUAUAUCCAAAUCUCAAUUGUACAGCUACAGCAUGUAGAGGUCACUUCUAGGUAAAUUGAUAACAAAUCCCAGCAAAUGGAGGCAAACAAACUAUCCAAAUGCUAAGAUUGAGGAAGCUUGGCCAGUUUUUAAGGUCUACCUGAACCCAAUUGCACAAAAAAAGAACAUAAUUCAAAUGGUACGCAAGUACACUGAAGCAACAAAUCAGAGAGGCAGCUCAAAAGUUUCCAACUAUAUACAGACAUGUACAAAUUCAAAAGUAAAGAUGAAAUGAAACCCUAAAAUGUAGAGUAUUACUUCAGUGGAAAAUGACAAACCCUUACACAAAAAAACCCAUAAAUGAACCAAAGAAAGCUGAUCAAACCUUAAAUUCCCCAACAGAGUCAACAGAGAGACACACAGAGAGGCACACAUGAGUUUGUUAUUUACAUUUGUACCCAAAUUAAACUACCAUGACAGAGACAGAGAUAUA